UGGGCGACCCCGGCCAAAAGGCGAGCUGCAGUCCUCAGUCUCCCCCAGUGUAUGUGACAAUAGGCUAUAACACUUCCGAAGAAGCCACAUUCCUACUGCCUUUAUCCACCGGACAAAACUGAUGUUGACCCGUUCAAAGGAAGUAGACUAGAAGAACUAGCUGAAUCCAAUGAACACGACUGACUUCAAUCGUUUCCCUUUCAACAAUUUCACGUACUGUUUAACUCUCUUUCCAAAGUGCUUUUCAUCUUUCCCUCACGGUACUUGUUCGCUAUCGGUCUCUCGCCAAUAUUUAGCUUUAGAUGGAAUUUACCACCCAUUUUGAGCUGCAUUCCCAAACAACUCGACUCGUAGAGAAUGUAUCACAGAGCACUGAUGAUUGUGUCAAGUACGGGAUUGUCACCCUCUUUGAUACCCUGUUCCAAGGGACUUAGACACAGUUCAGCACGGAAAACACUUCUAUAGAUUACAACUCGGACUAUCGAAGACAGCCAGAUUUUAAAUUGAGCUUUCCCGGUCAC
rnacentral:rRNA from 1 species